rnacentral:rRNA from 1 species
AGUGAACGCUGGCGGUAGGCCUAACACAUGCAAGUCGAACGGCAGCACAGUAAGAGCUUGCUCUUACGGGUGGCGAGUGGCGGACGGGUGAGGAAUACAUCGGAAUCUACUUUUUCGUGGGGGCUAACGUAGGGAAACUUACGCUAAUACCGCAUACGACCUACGGGUGAAAGCAUGGGAUCUUCGGACCUUGCGCGAUUGAAUGAGCCGAUGUCGGAUUAGUUAGUUGGCGGGGAAAAGGCCCACCAAGGCGACGAUCCGUAGCUGGUCUGAGCGGAUGAUCAGCCACACUGGAACUGAGACACGGUCCAGAGUCCUACGGGAGGCAGAAGUGGGGAAUGUUGGACAAUGGGCGCAAGCCUGAUCCAGCCAUACCGCGGGGGUGAAGAAGGCCUUCGGGUUUUAAAGCCCUUUUGUUGGGAAAGAAAAGCAGCAGGUUAAUACCCCGCUGUUCUGACGGUACCCAAAGAAUAAGCACCGGCUAACUUCGUG